rnacentral:rRNA from 1 species
CCUAGCGGCGGACGGGUGAGUAACACGUAGGCAACCUGCCUCUCAGACCGGGAUAACAUAGGGAAACUUAUGCUAAUACCGGAUAGGUUUUUGGAUUGCAUGAUCCGAAAAGAAAAGAUGGCUUUUGGCUAUCACUGGGAGAUGGGCCUGCGGCGCAUUAGCUAGUUGGUGGGGUAACGGCCUACCAGGGCGACGAUGCGUAGCCGACCUGAGAGGGUGACCGGCCACACUGGGACUGAAACACGGCCCAGACUCCUACGGGAGGCAGCAGUAGGGAAUUUUCCACAAUGGACGAAAGUCUGAUGGA